GUUUUUCCGCUCCCCUUGGCCUUGGUGCACUGUCUCUUUAAAUGGGGCGCCACACCACGGCUCGCGAGUGUUGUGGGUCUCGGGAGUGUCUGAGCUGCUGCAGAUGCCUCCUGCUGUAUGACGAUGUGCUGAGAAUGACUAUUAAGCGGAACUGGCCAGGUUCCAGUAUUGGAUGGCGAGCUAGAAGGCCCCGAGCCUGGACAUAUUGAGUGCGCCCGUCCGCCGGUGCGGUAGGAGGCGCUGCAGCCACUCCCCACACACACCCACUUGCACACACGCACACUAACAACCUCCGCUGGUGGAUUGUUUGAACUUUGCGAGUUUUGCACAGACUGAAACCCAGGUUCACCAAACUUGACGAUCUGAACUCUUUGUGCGCCUAAGUGGAUCUAUGAACUCUUCUUUCACAGCAACGUGGAUUUAUGAACAAUACUGCUUGCGCCCCUGACCUAAACAACUCUAUAAAUACAUUGGACCCAUUUUAUUUUUGUUUUACAUCACACACCUUGUAAAUUAUUGUACAUAAUGUCUUUGUCGAUGGCACUUCUGUAAAUAAUCACAGCUGAGCUCAACUUGCACAUCUGAGUCUGGUUUUCAUUUAACACACCAUCUUCCUCCGAGCGAACCUACAUCUUCUGAUACUA